CAGCCGCCGCGGUAAAACGUAGGGUGCGAGCGUUAAUCGGAUUUACUGGGCGUAAAGCGUGCGCAGGCGGCCCGUUAAGGCAGGUGUGAAAUCCCUGGGCUCAACCUAGGAAUUGCGCUUGUGACUGGCGGGCUCGAGUACGGUAGAGGGGGGUGGAAUUCCUGGUGUAGCAGUGAAAUGCGUAGAGACCAGGAGGAACACCGAUGGCGAAGGCAGCCCCCUGGGCCUGUACUGACGCUCAUGCACGAAAGCGUGGGGAGCAAACAGGAUUAGAUACCCCGGUAGUCCCUGUCUCUUAUAA
rnacentral:rRNA from 1 species